AUGACUUUUUACUACCGACCAACCGUUACAGAGGCUUUUUCCUCGGUUCAAUAUAUAAUGACCGAGGCCAACUUUGGUUGGUUAAUCCGAUCAGUUCAUCUAUGGUCAGCAAGUAUGAUGGUUUUAAUGAUCCUGCAUGUAUUUCGUGUGUAUCUCACAGGGGGAUUUAAAAAAUCCCACGAAUUAACUUGGGUCACAGGUGUGGUUUUGGCUGUUUUGACUGCAUCAUUUGGUGUAACUGGUUAUUCUUUGCCUUGGGAUCAAAUUGGCUAUUGGGCAGUCAAAAUUGUGACAGGUGUACCUGACGCCAUUCCCGUAAUAGGAUCGCCUUUAGUGGAGGUGCUGGUGGCGAUCGGAAGUGUUGGGUGGAUCGCAGAGGCAUAG
rnacentral:rRNA from 1 species